rnacentral:snoRNA from 14 species
UUGAACUGAUGAUCACUUUUCAGCUUGAAACAUAAUGAUAGCAAAAUCUGAUUUAAUGAGUCUGAUUA